rnacentral:rRNA from 1 species
UAGGGAAUCUUCGGCAAUGGACGAAAGUCUGACCGAGCAACGCCGCGUGAGUGAAGAAGGUUUUCGGAUCGUAAAACUCCGUUGGUAGAGAAGAACGUUGGUGAGAGUGGAAAGCUCAUCAAGUGACGGUAACUACCCAGAAAGGGACGGCUAACUACGUGCCACCAG